rnacentral:pre_miRNA from 1 species
UAUGUGUGAGAACAAGGAACAAUGCUGACAGUAUAUGUGAUUGUUCCUUGUUCUCACACAUAUACUGUCAGCAUUGUUCCUUGUUCUCAAACAUAUA